rnacentral:rRNA from 1 species
UACGUAGGGGGCAAGCGUUGUCCGGAUUCAUUGGGCGUAAAGAGCUUGUAGGCGGUUCAGUAAGUCGGGUGUGAAAGCUCCGAGCUCAACUCGGAGAGGCCACCCGAUACUGCUGUGACUUGAGUCCAGUAGAGGAGCGUGGAAUUCCUGGUGUAGCGGUGAAAUGCGCAGAUAUCAGGAGGAACACCAGCAGCGAAGGCGGCGCUCUGGGCUGGAACUGACGCUGAGGAGCGAAAGCGUGGGUAGCAAACAGG